ensembl:snRNA U6 U6 spliceosomal RNA
GGGUACAAUGGCUGGCUUGCUGUGGCUACCCAGAUGUUAAAAUUGAAAUGACACAGGGAAGAUUAUCAUGGCCUGCAACAAGGAUGACGUGCAAAUCCGUGAAGUGGUCGAUAAUUUG